rfam:Helianthus annuus linkage group 17, whole genome shotgun sequence.
GUGUCACUAAGGGAUCCUCUGAACACUUCACUAGGAUGGUUUAUUAAUGAGGAUUUCCUACUGAAGUGUUUGGGGGAACUCCAAGUGCCAC